AUUAAACGCUGGCGGCAUGCCUUACACAUGCAAGUCGAACGGCAGCACGGGGGCAACCCUGGUGGCGAGUGGCGGACGGGUGAGUAAUGCAUCGGAACGUGCCCUGAAGUGGGGGGAUAACGCAGCGAAAGCUACGCUAAUACCGCAUAUUCUGUGAGCAGGAAAGCAGGGGAUCGCAAGACCUUGCGCUUUGGGAGCGGCCGAUGUCGGAUUAGCUAGUUGGUGGGGUAAAGGCCUACCAAGGCGACGAUCCGUAGCGGGUCUGAGAGGAUGAUCCGCCACACUGGGACUGAGACACGGCCCAGACUCCUACGGGAGGCAGCAGUGGGGAAUUUUGGACAAUGGGCGGAAGCCUGAUCCAGCCAUGCCGCGUGAGUGAAGAAGGCCUUCGGGUUGGUUAAAGUACGUCUUUCCGGUCGGGGGAAGGAAAGUUAGCUUGGGUUAAUACCUCGAGUAGAUGACGGUACCGAACU
rnacentral:rRNA from 1 species